CAAAGCGGCCACAAACAUCAGAAACUGCAGCGACAACUGCAACAACUUUUGAACAACUACAGCAACAGCAAUAAGAGUUACGAAAACAAUAACCACACAAUGACAAUGCAAGGCAAUAUUCGCAUAUUAUACAAACAAUAAACAUUGUUAAUUAAUUUACUUCAACUCGAGCGGUAACUGCACUUUGGCCCACUCUACCGAAAAGGAUGACUGUAAGCUUGUAGAAAGCACAGAGUCACAUAAGGAAUUAUUUGCGAAAUUACCAACGCGGCCCACUGUGAUUAAAAAAUAUUAAAUCUUGAAAC
ensembl:ncRNA lncRNA:CR45727 long non-coding RNA:CR45727